CAACUUCUAGCAACGGAUCUCUUGGCUCUCGCAUCGAUGAAGAACGCAGCGAAAUGCGAUAAGUAAUGUGAAUUGCAGAAUUCAGUGAAUCAUCGAAUCUUUGAACGCACCUUGCGCUCCUUGGUAUUCCGAGGAGCAUGCCUGUUUGAGUGUCAUG
rnacentral:rRNA from 1 species